rnacentral:rRNA from 1 species
UGAACGCUGGCGGCAGGCCUAACACAUGCAAGUCGAACGGUAACAGGCAGAAGCUUGCUUCUUUGCUGACGAGUGGCGGACGGGUGAGUAAUGUCUGGGAAACUACCUGAUGGAGGGGGAUAACUACUGGAAACGGUAGCUAAUACCGCAUAACGUCGCAAGACCAAAAAGGGGGACCUUCGGGCCUCUUGCCAUCGGAUGUGCCCAGAUGGGAUUAGCUAGUAGGUGGGGUAACGGCUCACCUAGGCGACGAUCCCUAGCUGGUCUGAGAGGAUGACCAGCCACACUGGAACUGAGACACGGUCCAGACUCCUACGGGAGGCAGCAGUGGGGAAUAUUGCACAAUGGGCGCAAGCCUGAUGCAGCCAUGCCGCGUGUAUGAAGAAGGCCUUCGGGUUGUAAAGUACUUUCAGCGGGGAGGAAGGGAGUAAAGUUAAUACCUUUGCUCAUUGACGUUACCCGCAGAAGAAGCACCGGCUAACUCCGUG